rnacentral:rRNA from 1 species
AGAACGAACGCUGGCGGCGUGGAUAAGACAUGCAAGUCGAACGCGACUUAUCUGAUUAGCAAUAAUUAGGUAAGUUGAGUGGCGAAAGGGUGCGUAACACGUGGGAAUUUACCAAGAAGUGGGGAAUAGCUCGACGAAAGUCGAAUUAAUACCGCAUGUGAUCGAAAGAUCAAAGCCGGGGACCGCAAGGCCUGGCGCUUUUUGAGAAGCCCGCGGCCCAUCAGCUAGUUGGCGGGGUAACGGCCCACCAAGGCUAUGACGGGUAGCUGGUCUGAGAGGACGACCAGCCACACUGGAACUGAGACACGGUCCAGACACCUACGGGUGGCAGCAGUCGAGAAUUUUUCACAAUGGACGAAAGUCUGAUGGAGCGACGCCGCGUGGAGGAUGAAGGUUUUCGGAUUGUAAACUCCUGUCACUGCAGACAAGGCAGUGCGUAUGAAUAGUACGUGC